UACGUAGGUGGCAAGCGUUGUCCGGAAUUACUGGGCGUAAAGCGCACGUAGGCGGCUUUGUAAGUUAGAGGUGAAAGCCCAGGGCUUAACCCUGGAAUUGCCUUUAAGACUGCAUCGCUAGAAUUGUGGAGAGGUGAGUGGAAUUCCGAGUGUAGAGGUGAAAUUCGUAGAUAUUCGGAAGAACACCAGUGGCGAAGGCGACUCACUGGACACGUAUUGACGCUGAGGUGCGAAAGCGUGGGGAGCAAACAGG
rnacentral:rRNA from 1 species